UUUCAUUACAGCUGCACUCCCACACAUAUGGGAGAAAGGCAGUCAGCCAGCAAAGGUUAAUGGGUCCAGCUGCUUCCCUCCCUUUGCUCUGAUUGGAAAGGAGAGACGGCAGCUGCGUGUAGCCCAGUCAGGGAGAAGAGGGCAUCUCUAACUAUAGAAGCCCUCUUCAGAAAGGUGAAGUGAUUGAAGAGAGAGAGAGCAGCUUUCCUGGCUGAGAGGUUCUCAAAGGGCUGAACUGUUUCUUGAUGCUGUUGCAGGCUGCUCUGGAGCAGUCUGUAUCUCCCUCAUGUAAAGGACAAGAAUAAAAAAUGAAGACGGGGUUUACUUGCCUUGUUCCAUCAUCUCCAGAAGACCUUUCUUAAUGAGUUCAUCCCGACCUGGCCUUGCAGUAAUCUUCUUCUCUAACACUGCAGAAAGUGAUGGCAUAACAUAGAAAAUCAGAGCAAACAAUGGAUGGAAGUAGACACAUGAGACAACUCAAUAUGAAAGCUGCAACAGCACUUCAGCUUCCAUGGUCAGGGGCAAGUCCUGCACUCAUCCUCUUCGGCAGAAGAAGUAGAGUCCUCAUGCAAUGGAAUUGGAAUGGUUCUGCUCUGCACAGUGUGUGAAGAGGGAUGCUUGGAGCCCACACAGGAAGUGUGCAACAUUUCACACCAGGGUUUCAUGCUCCCGAGUCCCCAGAGAAGAGGCUCCCUCUGUCUUAGAGUAAAAAGGUAUUUCAGGGGAUGAGUGAAAGGCUGGAAAACGGAUUCAAGGCUAACAAGAUGCAGCAGUCAUUCCUACCAAGGCGCAGGGAUGCACAACAUGUGAUUGCCUGGGGCUGGUCUGCACGAUUAUGUAAAAGAUGCACAGGAAAUGUAAACAACUGGAAGCCAGAUCAGAUUCUCAUAAUCAGGGAAGGCAACCGUGAGCAACAGCUUGAAGAGCACUCCAGUGUGGAAGGACAUGAGAGAACCUUUACACAGGGGCAUAAAAUGUUCCUCCAGGAAGUUGACAUAUCACUUAACAGCAUUACUUUAAUAGAAGCAGAGGUGCAAAGAAAUUAAUCGGGAACCUUUCAUGCCUUUUGGAUCAACGUGUCAAGUCCUGGUUUCACAACCGCUACACAAGAGGGUGCUUGCGCUUCUUUUACGAUUAGUGGGACGAAACAACUACAUAGCUAUAAUCCUGGUCCUGCAGUGGAGAUAAAAUGCUACUCGCCUUACAAGGAAAUGAUGGAGGAGAAUGGCAAAGUUCCGUAAUCAUUAGCUUCCAUGUCACCCAUCAGCCAAGCAGAGAGAACUGCCAAGAAAGUAACUGCUCUUGAGAAAGAUGUUGAAAACGAUGAAGAGCUGGCUGGCUAAUUUUCCAGCCUCUGAACAGCUCUUACCUAAACAGACUAGGAAGCAGGGAAAGAGACAGUAAUACAGACUGAUUCUGUCUAUCAAGGGAAAUUUUACUGGGAUGGUCUGUACACAAUUCCUCUUCUCCAGUGCCAGCCCCAGGAAAGAGUUUUCAUCCCUGGAUGUCAAACACUGUAUUUAACCAAUGCUUCCCUUAGAUGCGGCACACACUACCAUAACUCCAUCUGGAAAUGCAUAUAAGCAGUCUUGUUCUAGGCCAGCAUGAUUACUGCUCUGUUGGCAGCUGAGUUUCUGUGAUUCUCUAACCUGACACUGAAUGGUUUGUUUCUUUUCUGGAGCCAAGGAAAAAAGAUUAUUAUCAUGGUGGGGGAAGGGGAGAAAGAGAGAACCUUUCCCCAAAAAGUAAACGUAGAAUCCCUAUCAUUUUUGCUCAGCUAGAGAAGAGUAUAUCUUGAAUUACACUUAUUUAACUAGCAGAAAAUAACAGCGAUUUAUCAAGCAGAAGAGGAAAAACCUUUAAAUUACAGAGCUUUUUUGGGGCCAGUAUUUUGAACAUUGUCAUUUUGUUGUGCUGGUGGGAACCUGUACCAUCCGCAUGAUGGAUAACAGAUGAGUUUUAACAUCAGCAGGGAAUGAUGAUGCAAUAUUUUAGAAAAGGAAGCCCAAUUGCUGCAUGGUUACAGGCAGAUUUUCCUUACUGAAUGCCUUUCUUCACAUAGGUCUCAAUUUAGAAAAGCACUUAAACCCAUACUUAACUUUUAAAUAUAUGCUUAAGUCCCCAUGACCUGCUUAAGCCCUCUUGCUGAAUAGGGAUGCUUUCCAGAAUAAGGGCCCUUCAUCUGUCUAUAGUUCUCUAGCACAAUUUGAAGGCCACAUGAGAAUAGCAUGUAACAAGUCUACUGAAAGGGUCAUUCAAAAUGCCAUUAACGACUCCUUAGGACUUCCCAUAGUUAAGUUUGCUAAAAUAUUAUUGGCUUCUAAAUGUUGCCAUUCCAGAUCAUCUAACUGGAAACAAAGGUGCGAAAUGAAUUACUUGUCAACGCAUGGUGAUGGAAUAGAUUGCCAUUUAGCACUUUAUUUACAAGCCAAUGUAAUGCCUUGUAUUAAGUAUUGCUGAUUUUGUGGAAUGGGGGUGGGGGAGUCUGACAAAAUGCAUUUAGCGUCUUCUCUUUUUGGCUUUGAUCCUGCACCUAAACAAAGCCCCUUUUAUUGACUUUUUUUUGGAGUCUUCCUCUAAGGAGUUUGUUGCAGGGUCAGGGCCUUAGUUGUUAUUAAUUUCUCGCUUCAACAAUUGUUUUGUUCAACAAUUAUCAACAAUUUAAGGCAAAUCAGCAAACUCAUCAGUGACUAUUACUGUGGUUCUCUGUAUUUUUAAAAGAUUACAUUUAAAAUAAAUGGAAUUUUAAAAAAAAAUUAAUAUUCACAUUAUUUUAUUAGGAGAAAUCCUCUUUUGGGGCUAGUUAAGUUAUGUGUUUGAUGUCUAGUAGUAUGUGAACUGCUGCAAAGAUCACAUCAUAUUUCAAGAAUCCUGUAAUGAAUAGUUCUAAAUCCAAUGUAGGAUGUUGGUUAGGAACUGGCCAAAACCAGCAUCCUUUAUUCUGUAGAUGCUUGUGACCAAGUAAAAACAGUAACAGUCACUUAACCACUUGAUUGUAAAUUGUUAUGUUGACAGUAUUACAAAUGCUGAUGUGUAUGACAUAAGUCUAUAGUCAUAGCCAAAACAAGGUGCCAGUUAACUAACCUUAAAUAAAGAGUCCAAAUAUUGGUGACAUUCCCUUGUGUCCCCCUGUGUUUGCAAUGGGAAAUAGAACCUACAGUAUUCAGGGUGAGGUGGUUAUAACUGCAAAUACUUAUUCUGUUAUCGAAAGCAACUGGUGAGUUUCGACCAGUCACCAGUGUCGCUACUGUACUUGUAUCACAUGAAACUCCAAGGAGGAGAGAGCAUGUCUAACCAAUGAAAGCUUUCUGUUCAAUCUCCUUUGUGUAAUUUUAAAUGGUUUUCAUCGCUUUUUGGAAUGAACAUAAACAAAUUUCAAUUUUGCUGCACAACCAAGCAGACGAAUUUAUGGAAGGAGAGUUAAAUACAGAAACAAAGCAAAGUGCCUCUGGGGAGCUCUCUGGCACAAACAUCAUCUCCUUUCCUGUCCACUAAGGGAAUGAGACUAACGACGAGCUCUCUGCUUUUGUGAAGGCUCCAACCGUGUACCCAGAUGGCAUAUGGCACACAGAGUUCAUUGGCUGUAAUGGUGUGGGAUCGUCAGUACGCAGCUUCUCUUGAUGAGCCUGUGUUGGAGCAACUUCAGUACAGUGGCUUUUUGUAACAUUUACCAGCCCUUGUUUGCAUAUAGCUGAGGCUUUCUUAC